rnacentral:lncRNA from 10 species
GAACGCCGGCCCCCGCCCCGCACCCCACCCCGGGCGCCGCCACCCGGGCCCAGUCGGUCAGAGCGGCGCGGCCCGGGAGCGGGAGGGCUGCGGCGGGGCUGGCGAGGAAGUGGUGGCGCUGCCCGGGGCGGGGAUGGGGACUGCGCCGUCCCCGGCCCGGUCACCACCGGCCUGCACUCCGGGCCCGGGCUUGGCUCUUCCAUCGGCUUAACCAUCACUUGGAGGUGGCAGAUAUGUGAUGGAGACACUAUGUUGGCGACGUCAGGGUUAACUAGGAGUGAAUUGGGGGCGCGAUGUUGUAAGGACGGGAUUCCUGCCUCCCGCCCCAUUAUCCUUACGCCCUAUUCACUGCGGUCUCAGAUUCUGGGAGGUCUCGGGAGGCCCAGAAAUGGGAGAAGUCAGAUUGCGGGGUCGUGGGCCCCAAAGCCUAAAUCUUGCCCUUCCUACACCCAGAGCUAAGUGACCAUGCCCAGGCUUCAUUUGACCACAUGGACAAAGAGACCAUCUCCCGAAGCAGAGGCUCUGGCUGUAAAUGGUGCUAGUGGCCGGCCUGGCAGGGGCCAGCUCUCCCCAGAGGCUCAGGAGCUUCUCCAGGAGGCAUCUCGCAGUCAGUCCCCAGCCCACACCAAGGCUGUGCCCUUCCACUCCUCUUGCUUUCCUCUUCCCACCACCCACUCACUCACUAGUCUUUGCCCUCUUCCUUCCUCUGGGAAACGGAACAGGCUCCUUUCCAUUAGUGAGAGCUGCAACUAAUGCAGUCAUCUUCAGAAAGCAAAGACAUAACCCCGUGCCCAGGAUCCGAACUGCGACCAUCACCCAGCAAUGACUGCUCCCCUUAAACACCGAGAAGGGAAUUCACUUGAUUCUAAUUAGGCCUAGAGAAGGCCUCCCCGAGGCCAGAAUCCCUGGGAAGUCUGCCCAGCAUCUAGUCUCUUAGGACUUCGUUGGCCUCCUCUGGGGAAGAACAUCAAUUCAGCCCAGCACCUGCUCCAGUGAGGGGCUGCAGCGAAGAAUGACGUGGGGUCCACGAGGCAGGCUUUUUGAUGGUGAGGCCGCAGCAGCAGCAUCAGCAUCAGCAGCAGCAGCAGCAAGACAUCCUGGAGCUCCAUAUUCAGUAUGGCAAGAGGCAACGGGCGUGAGGGAAGCAGUCCCGAACAGAAAUGCAGGAGCAGCGGUAACAGCAGCAGCCGCUGCCUGCGAGCAUCAGGCAGGGGAGUGAGACAGUGGGCACUCAAAUCCGUUUCCUCCAUCUCUCAGCCACACAGCCCAAGCGAGGCUGUGUGAGAACUUCUCAGUGCACAUUGUAAAUACCAUCUGUCACACUGCCUGCCCAGAUGCGGCCUUCCUCCCUGCAAAGGAAGCAUUCUUUAUUAUUUAUGCAGAAUGCACCCUACUUAAGUGUUGCACCACCAGCAGAGAGAAGACAAAGCCUGGAAGAGUCAAGGACUCCAGGGAUCUGCUUUUCGGAUAGCAGCCGGUUGGGAGGGGCUUGGUCAUCCAUCUUUCUGGGGUGGGAGGUUCAUUCAGUCGGGCAAGGGCACUUCCCUAGGAAUUAGGAGGCCUGCGUUCUCAGCUUAGUUCUCUCACCAGCUUGCUGUGUGACCUUGGGCAGACACCUCACCCCCAUGGGCCUCCAUUUUUUUUUUCCAUCUGUAAAUGCAGGGGUCAGACUAGAUGAUCUAUGACAUCCCUUCCAGCUCUAAAUUCAAUUGGUGUCCCUCUAACCCUUCUCCAUCCUGUGCGGGCCCAGAAGCCUGUUCAUUACCGUCAGCUCUCCUUCCCAGCUGGCAGGGGAAAUACAGUUCAGGAUCUGAUUUCUUUUUCUUUUUCUUUUUCUUUUUUGAGACAGAGUUUUGCUCUUGUUGCCCAGGUGCUGGAGUGUAAUGGCGCGAUCUUAGCUCACCGCAACCUCUGCCUCCCGCAUCCUCCUCCUCCCGGGUUCAAGUGAUUCUCCUGCCUCAGCCUCCUGAGUAGCUGGGAUUACAGGCAUGUGCCACCAUGCCCAGCUAAUUUUGUAUUUUUAAUAGAGACGAGGUUUCUCCAUGUUGGUCAGGCUGGUCUCGAACUCCCAACCUCAGGUGAUCUGCGUGCCUUGGCCUCCCGAAGUGCUGGGAUUACAGGCGUGAGCCACCGCGCCCGGCAGGAUCUGAUUUCUUAGUACCUGAGAGCAGGACAAGGGGCCAGCAGACCUAGGCUCUUGUCCAAGCUCUGUCACUGUUUAGCCUUGUGGCCCUGGGGAAGGCAGUUUCCUAAUCUCAGUUUUGUCUUUUGUGAAACCAGUGGGAGGGACUAAGAGAUUUCUGGAGGAGAAUCCAUCUCUAAAUUCCAUAAUCCCUGAUUUUCCCUUCCAAAACACUGCUGAUAAACACGUUUACAGACCAAGUCUCUAGACCUGGAGAUUAGUGAAACAUAGUUCUCUGCCCUCAGUGAACUCGAAGUCAGGUGGAAAAGGCAUGCUAGCUAAAAACAACUGCAGGUGCAAUGUGACAGGUACAAGUAGAGAUGGGUGCAAAGGAUGUGGUGGCAUUAAGGCGUCCAAGUAGGUGAUGCUGGAGCUGGAUCUUAAAAGAUUGAGUAGGAGUUCACCAGGUGGAUGGGGCCUGAUGUGUUCAAGACAGAAGGAACUGCAUGUACUAAGGCAGGAAGGUGUGAAUCUGCAUUGGAACUGCCCACUUGUCCACUGUUAGGCUGACAGUGACAUUCGGGGAGUCUUUGCAUUGACUGCUUCCUCUGCCCCCCCUUUAGAACAAUCUGGUACUCCCUGGGUUGGGAUGAGGGGACUUAUGGUUGACGGCUCCAUAUGGCUUCCCUGCCCAUGAAGUGCAUCACCAAGGAGAUGAGUGACUUGAGUAAGUCUCCCCUUCCACAUGCCGGUAUCUGUUCUCUGAAUGAAAAUCAGCGAAGCAGACUGAAACUGAGGGGCUGGCUCAAAGGGUCUGAAGGUGACCCAUAACUCUUCAGCCUCGCCCACCAUCAGGCCAGGUCAGAGGAGGAACGUGGCACUGUGCAAAAUGGGGCCCAGUGGCUGACGUGGGCCGUCUCGGUUUGUUGGGCAUCCUCCCCUGUGCAGCCAAAGCACGUGAUCUGUCCUACAGCUGGGGUGGCCUGUUGUGGCUCCUUGGGGAGCUGUCCACGUCAUCUGCAGAGAGAUGAAAUCAACCUGUCCCUUCUCCGUGAAGGACAUCCUGCAACAGAAAUGCACUUCCCCCAAACCCAGCUUCUCAAUGUGGUCACUGUAGCUCUGGGCUGCAGCUCACAUGCCUGGCUCUGCAUACUCCAAAAUACACAAGAACGGCAGAGGGGAGACGCAUGCAUCCAAGACAUCAUUAGCUGUGAGCAGCCUCAUAGGCUGUGAGCCAUGGGGUUAACCAGGCUCAGAGAAGGCCUGCAAAGCGGCAGUAAACAUUCUGCUGGCUUGGCUUGGCUUGCUGCAACAAUUUAUAUCCCAGGAAAAAAAGGGGCCAAAAGUCACGGAAAUAACAGAAAUGCUGAAGGAACUGGCACAUUUGCCAGAUGGUUCCUGGGGCACAAUCGUAUUUGCAGAGGGACAGUCUGCAGCGGAGGUCCUUUCAUCAGAGAGCAAAGACUCUGGCUGACCGCUCAUUCAUUAUCCCAGGACUCACUUGGAGGAGGGUGGUGGCUGGAGCACACCCACGCUUGUCCUUCCUUCCCGGAACCUUGAAGCUGUGGUUGCCUGAAGCUGAAGUGGCAUUUGGGAUUGGGCCUCUCCAAACACCCACAGCUCUGCUUCUUUAGACACCUGCCACCUGUGUCUCUUUUUCCCAACUUACACCAGCCAGUCCAUUCUCCCAGCUGCCAGCUGUCAUUUUCUCCUUAGUGCAACUGGUCAGAUUUUAGUAAAUAACACAGCUUGGGCUCUGACAAUAUGAAUUCAGUUGUGCUGCCAGGGCCGAACUAUGAGCAGUAGGGAAGAUGUCUGUCUUGGCUUUGCUACAUUCUCCAUGCGGAUUGGUGGUUAUAGCCUGAAUCAUGCUGUUGCCCCCAGAAACCUUGGUCAUGGGGGUGAUGGGGUGAGGGUGAGUGGACAGUCAACACAAAGGCAUCACUACAAGCAGAGGCCCUAUUCUUGGUGGUCAGUGCCUACCUCUGCAUAAGGACAGUGUCAUAGCAGCAGAGGGAGGCUGUGCGUGGUCAGCUACUUAUUGAAAGGGUGCCCACCUAUUAGAAGUUCUAUAAUUGUCCAUUUAUUGCAACUUCUGUGUUAUAUGAUGACCUCCUUAAGGAAAGGAUGUCUCUAUAAUCAUCUUACUUUCUCUACAUCCUAGUACCAUGCUUGUCAGUGUGGCAUUGAGGGAUUUGGUGGAAAACAUACAUAUUUAUCCAUUUAGACUUCCAUUUGCAUCUGGCAGGAUAACUUUCAGCAGGCUGGUUAACCUCAAUGAGCCUCAGUUUCCUUGGAUUUAAAUGAGGCUAAUAUUACCCAUCUUGUGAGGAUGUAGGUAAAAAGGAUGGGACAGUACUUGGCACAGAGUAGCUCUCAGUAAGCAUCCGUUCCCCAUUCCUUCCCCGCCCAGGAUACUCAAUACAUGGAGUUGAAUAAAUGAAUAAAUUAUUUCAGAGAUGAAUACACUUUGGCAUCUUUCUUGGAU